rnacentral:rRNA from 1 species
AUUGAACGCUGGCGGCAGGCUUAACACAUGCAAGUCGAGCGGUAGCACAGGGGAGCUUGCUCCCUGGGUGACGAGCGGCGGACGGGUGAGUAAUGUCUGGGAAACUGCCUGAUGGAGGGGGAUAACUACUGGAAACGGUAGCUAAUACCGCAUAACGUCGCAAGACCAAAGAGGGGGACCUUCGGGCCUCUUGCCAUCAGAUGUGCCCAGAUGGGAUUAGCUAGUAGGUGGGGUAAUGGCUCACCUAGGCGACGAUCCCUAGCUGGUCUGAGAGGAUGACCAGCCACACUGGAACUGAGACACGGUCCAGACUCCGACGGGAGGCAGCAGUGGGGAAUAUUGCACAAUGGGCGCAAGCCUGAUGCAGCCAUGCCGCGUGUGGGAAGAAGGACUUCGGGUUGUAAAGCACUUACAGCGAGGAGGAAGGUGGUGAGCUUAAUACGUUCAUCAAUUGACGUUACUCGCAGAAGAAGCACCGGCUAACUCCGUG